rnacentral:rRNA from 1 species
GAUCAUGGCUCAGGAUGAACGCUGGCGGCGUGCUUAACACAUGCAAGUCGAGCGAAGUUGUGUUAACGGAGGGCUUCGGCCUAAAGAUGAUACAACUUAGCGGCGGACGGGUGAGUAACGUGUGGGUAACCUGCCAUAUACAGGGGAAUAAUCACUGGAAACGGUGACUAAUACCGCAUGUCACCGCGGGAGGGCAUCCUCCUGCGGGAAAAGGAGCAAUCCGGUAUAUGAUGGACCCGCAU